GAUGAACGCUAGCGGCAGGCUUAACACAUGCAAGUCGAGGGGCAGCAUGAGACGGAGAUUCGUCGAAGUCUUGAUGGCGACCGGCGCAAGGGUGCGUAACGCGUGAGCAACUUGCCCGUUUCAGGGGGAUAACCGGUGGAAACGCCGACUAAUACCCCAUAGCAUUGGUUUGAGGCAUCUCUUACCAAUUAAAGAACUUCGGAAACGGAUAGGCUCGCGUGACAUUAGCUAGAUGGCGGGGUAACGGCCCACCAUGGCUACGAUGUCUAGGGGUUCUGAGAGGAAGGUCCCCCACACUGGAACUGAGACACGGUCCAG
rnacentral:rRNA from 1 species